UACGAAGGGGGCUAGCGUUGCUCGGAAUCACUGGGCGUAAAGGGUGCGUAGGCGGGUUUUUAAGUCAGGGGUGAAAUUCCAGGGCUCAACCCUGGGACGGCCUUCGAUACUGGCGGGCUCGAGGCCGGUAGGGGGAAGCGGAAUUCCCGGUGUAGUGGUGGAAUGCGUAGAGAUCGGGAGGAACACCUGUGGCGAAAGCGGCGCCCUGGCAUUGGCCUGACGCUCAUGUGCGAAAGCGUGGGGAGCGAACGGG
rnacentral:rRNA from 1 species